GUGCCAGCCGCCGCGGUAAUACGGAGGGGGUUAGCGUUGUUCGGAGUUACUGGGCGUAAAGCGCACGUAGGCGGAUCAGAAAGUUGGGGGUGAAAUCCCGGGGCUCAACCCCGGAACUGCCUCCAAAACUACUGGUCUAGGGUUCGAGAGAGGUGAGUGGAAUUCCGAGUGUAGAGGUGAAAUUCGUAGAUAUUCGGAGGAACACCAGUGGCGAAGGCGGCUCACUGGCUCGAUACUGACGCUGAGGUGCGAAAGUGGGGGGAGCAAACAGGAUUAGAAACCCGUGUGUCC
rnacentral:rRNA from 1 species